AGAGUUUGAUCCUGGCUCAGAUUGAACGCUGGCGGUAUGCCUUACACAUGCAAGUCGAACGGUAGAGGAGCAAUCCUCGAGAGUGGCGAACGGGUGAGUAAUACAUCGGAACGUGCCCAGUCGUGGGGGAUAACGUAGCGAAAGCUACGCUAAUACCGCAUACGACCCGAGGGUGAAAGCGGGGGACUCGCAAGAGCCUCGCGCGAUUGGAGCGGCCGAUGGCAGAUUAGGUAGUUGGUGGGGUAAAGGCCCACCAAGCCUGCGAUCUGUAGCUGGUCUGAGAGGACGACCAGCCACACUGGGACUGAGACACGGCCCAGACUCCUACGGGAGGCAGCAGUGGGGAAUUUUGGACAAUGGGCGAAAGCCUGAUCCAGCCAUACCGCGUGCGGGAAGAAGGCCUUCGGGUUGUAAACCGCUUUUGUCAGGGAAGAAAUACUUCGGGCCAAUACCCUGGGGUGAUGACGGUACCUGAAGAAUAAGCACCGGCUAACUACGUGCCAGCAGCCGCGGUAAUACGUAGGGUGCAAGCGUUAAUCGGAAUUACUGGGCGUAAAGCGUGCGCAGGCGGUUCUAUAAGACAGAUGUGAAAUCCCCGGGCUCAACCUGNGAACUGCAUUUGUGACUGUAGAGCUAGAGUACGGUAG
rnacentral:rRNA from 1 species